rnacentral:rRNA from 1 species
CCUGGGUGGUACCUAAAGUCGAUAACCGUAAGGAGUCGCCUAGGUAAACUAGUAACUGGGGCU